rnacentral:rRNA from 1 species
UACAGAGGUCCCGAGCGUUGUUCGGAUUCACUGGGCGUAAAGGGUGCGCAGGCGGCCAAGUGUGUGAGGCGUGAAAGCCCGGGGCUUAACCCCGGAAUUGCACCUCAAACUACAUGGCUAGAGCAUUGGAGAGGGUAGCAGAAUUCAUGGUGUAGCAGUGAAAUGCGUAGAUAUCAUGAGGAAUACCAGAGGCGAAGGCGGCUACCUGGACAAUUGCUGACGCUCAGGCACGAAAGCGUGGGGAGCAAAAGGG